rnacentral:misc_RNA from 1 species
AACGCACAUUGCGCCCUUUGGUAUUCCAAAGGGCAUGCCUGUUUGAGCGUCAUUUCUCCCUCAAGCCCGCGGGUUUGGUGUUGAGCAAUACGCUUCGGUUUGUUUGAAAGAUGUACGUGGGAACGACCAUGAAACGACUUAGGUUCUACCAAACGCACGUUUCAGCUGCGGCCGACGCCACCACAACUUCCAUACUUUUGACCUCAAAUCAGGUAGGACUACCCGCUGAACUUAA